GAUAGAUUCGUGCGAAACUUAGUUCUCAGUAGCAAAGGAAAAAGAUGGAAUCGAGAAACUUACGCUAGAGCUUCGGCAGAGCCAAUGGCGAUGUUCAUCCUUCUUUCCCAGUCGAGGUUUGACUCCGCGGCCAAGUGUCCGUGUAAAUGCGCUGACAAGCUUAAGUUCGGCAUGUAGUUGUACACCAAAAGACGCUCUUUGCCUUCGGCGCAAUAACCACGCAAGCUCAGUAAAUUCUUGUGACGGACUCUUCCCAGGAUCUCGA
rnacentral:lncRNA from 1 species